GUGGGGAAUAUUGGACAAUGGGCGAAAGCCUGAUCCAGCCAUGCCGCGUGUGUGAAGAAGGUCUUCGGAUUGUAAAGCACUUUAAGUUGGGAGGAAGGGCAGUAAGUUAAUACCUUGCUGUUUUGACGUUACCGACAGAAUAAGCACCGGCUAACUUCGUGCCAGCAGCCGCGGUAAUACGAAGGGUGCAAGCGUUAAUCGGAAUUACUGGGCGUAAAGCGCGCGUAGGUGGUUUUGUAAGUUGGAGGUGAAAGCCCCGGGCUCAACCUGGGAACUGCCUCCAAAACUGCAUUACUAGAGUACGGUAGAGGGUAGUGGAAUUUCCUGUGUAGCGGUGAAAUGCGUAGAUAUAGGAAGGAACACCAGUGGCGAAGGCGACUACCUGGACUGAUACUGACACUGAGGUGCGAAAGCGUGGGGAGCAAACAGGAUUAGAUACCCUAGUAGUCC
rnacentral:rRNA from 1 species